GCACGGGACUGUCCUCCUGACCCCUGCUGGUCCAGAAUGUUCUUUCCCAAGGUGGCUGGCUCCCUCGUCUCUCAGGCCCUUCCUGAAUCUUCAGUGUCCUUCUCUCACCUUCCCUGACCACCUCUUCAUUCACCUCCUCACGAGCCCGCCCUGUUUCUGGUUUCUUUUUCUUUUUUUUGAGAGUCUCGAUCUGUCGCCCAGGCUGGAGUGCAG
rnacentral:lncRNA from 1 species